rnacentral:lncRNA from 1 species
UGGACCACUGGGCUGGGACCCACGACCCCACCACCACGCCUGGAGGACGCGCAGCGGCGCCUCGGCCUUGGAAGGGGAGUUUCCCAGCGCGAGCCCCGCCCUUCCCCGCCCGGGAGGCGCCUCGGGGCGGGGUCACUGGCCGGGAGGCCCCGCCUUCCGCCCGAAAGCGCCGGUGCACCCCGCAGGCCCUGCCCGUGGGUCCACAGGCCGGAUCCCCGGGUUCCUAGGCUGGGACUGCUUCUCAGAACCACUCUGUCGUUUUUAAGCAGGGUCACACACUCUAGCUCACUGGGUCCAUUUUAAUUUCUAUUAAACAUUUUUUUUUUUUUGCAAAUGAUGUAGUAGGAGAUCCAAGGUGUUUGGUUAAUGAUUUAUUCACUCAUUAGUCAUUCCACAAACUUGUCUUGAGCACCUGUUAUGUACCCAGCACUGUGCUGGAAUGCUGAGGAGACAGGAGUGAAGUAAAAAGACAUGGUUCCGGCAGGAAACAGGCAAGGAGAGCCUUGACUUGACGGAGUCUGGCUAUAUCGCCAGGCUGGAAUGCAAUGGCGCGAUCUCUCCUCACUGCAACCUCCGCCUCCCGGGUUCAAGCGAUUCUCCUGCCUCAGCACCUCGAGUAGCUGGGACUACAGGCGCGCGCCACCACGCCCAGGGCACUUGGUGACCUACUUAGACAUGACAUUCCUUGGCCUCCCUUUCAGCAAGGUGACUUCCCUCUGAAGAUCUGUUAGACAUGCCCCAGUCAUCUUGGUUCCUUGGUGGCAGCUGUUCCACCUGGCUGUGUCCAGUCAGCCAUCUUGCCCUCCCUCCAGAAAUUCAAAAAAAAUUUCAGAUGAGAAAACUGAGGCACAGAGAGGUGAAAUAAGGAAUGAAAUAUUACUGGAUGAAAUAAUUAUACUGAUCCUAGCCUUAUUUUAAAAGGGCCCCCAGAAUGCUCUUCUCCAAGACUUAGAAAAAUCAAAUGCUAUCCAUCCCUCAAGAUACAUCCCUCCAGCCCCUCCUUGAAGUCUCCUGCAGCUAGAAGUAGAAGUAGCAUCUAUCCCCAUCUGGACUCCUUAGCACUUUGCUGUACCUGCCUUAGUCCCCAUCUCUUUACACACACACACACACACACACACACACACACAGAGUAUUAUAAUACUAUUACCUAUUAUAUUACAUUAUAUUAUUGUAGUUCUACAGGAACUACAAGGAAUUCUACUGUGAAUUCCUUAAGGGUGGGAUACAUUUUACAAUCAUCACUGUUUCUCUCAUUAGUUGUGGAAUCAAAAAAAUGAGUGCACGAUGAAAAAUUAUUCAAACACAUACAUGCUUUCAUUCCAAUUGAAAAUGUAAAAAUAUUACUGUUAAAACAAUAUUAAAGGACAUGUAAUACAAUUCAAAUAUUCCUACCAUGCACGAUUGUUUUCACUUCUUUGUGCCUCUUUCACCAUUUAUUUGUGUGCAUACUCAGCAUAUUUGUUUGUGUAACAGGAUGUUAAAAAUAGAAUUUGUUGCCUGUAGUUUUUGCUAAAGCUCUACUAGACUGGAACAGAACAAUAGGUGGUAAAUACUCCAUUCCUCAGUGAGAUGCUACCUACCUAUGCAGAGCUGGAAAAGAUUUUGCAACCUGAAAACCCAAUCCUUUCUGAGAUAUAAAAGAACAGAAGAGUCUGGAAGUGAUUUCUUCGGAGAAAUUCAUUUUCUGUGAGUCUCACUCCUAAUCCCCUAUGAGAUAUCUGGGGGUGAAGGGCAGGUGCUGUUCCACACAGAGAGCUUGAUCCGUGCAUCUUGGAAGAGGGAGGUAGGUAGGGAACAGGGUGGGCUGCUUUGGGACCCAUGCCUUAAAACUCAGGUACUGGGGCUGGCUGGUUCUAAUGGCCAAGAGGUGAGAGGUGCACCUGUGGGGAACAACCUUCACUCUCAGUUUGUCAGGAUAGAGGAUAUGAGUCUUGCCCUGAGGAUGGGAUGUAGACUACAAGGGCAAGAGAGUCAGCUUAAAGAAAUCUGUAGAACUAUCUGCCAGGACUGAGGUGACCAUAGCAGAGAGAUGUUGGAGGUAUUCUGUUGGGAACAAGAUGGUGUGAGGUAAAGAUUGUAUUUGAUACCUGCUGGAGAAGAGAUCUUGCAUUAAGGCCAGCAUUAAGAGAACUUCAGAUGAGAAAUCCCUGGUGAAGCAGAGUCUCCAAAGAAUGCAUAAGAGCUCUGCAGUGAGAAAGAGAUCACCUGAAUACCUUCCAAAAUCAAAGCGUGGCAGUGACCAGCUAAGCAGAUCUUUCCUGUCUUCUACCUGGAAGGGCCUGAAACUGCAAUUCAUGAGUUUGGGGAAGGCAGAGAGGCACAAAGUGGGGAAAUGGAAAAGUUGACUAUGUCCGCUUUCCUACUGCAGUAUUCCAGAGAAGAAACUUCAAGCUCAGAAUAUUGGCUACUACCUGUGAUAAACAUUUAAAUUAUUGGAACGAGAGAGUUUUUAUAACUAAAUUUGAAAGAAGCAAUUUUUUUUAUCAAAGACCAACCCGAAGAUUCAUGACCACUACCUGUGAUUUCAUCCAUGUUGCAAGGAAAAUCCUGCCCCACUUCCCCAAUAGGAAGAGUGGUGGGGGAAUAAUAAAGUUGUUUUAUGAUGCAUCCUGUGGACUUCUACUCGACAGAAUGGUAACAUUCAACUGUAAUCAGGAUGAGCAAGCCACUUUAUUAAACUAAAAUUUUAAACUUUAAUAAAUAUAAUACAAACUGAAAAAUAAAAAUAAUUUUUCAACUCUACACAAGUAUGUUAACUGCAUAAACAGUGAGAUGUUACACAGGGCUGAGGCCUAUACUUCUUCAGUUUGUACAUUAAACGUCUCCAUGGAGGGUCAAUUGCAUCCUACCUAUUCUGACAGUUAUCAGGUAGCGAGAGAUUUGAGGAAGAGGCGCUUUUCUAAUCUGGGGUAGGAAAAGGAAUGAUACCAUGUAUCAUGAGAAGUAUUUGCACAUAGUGUGUCAAUUAAGCAAGUGCUCAGACUAUUAACAACAUUACUAUGUGAUGAAUGUUUAUACAGUGGAUUCAAAAAUAAGCUUCUUUCCAGAAAGCAGCUUAGUUUUCAUUAAUUAUUACCAGCAUCUUGGUAAUUAUUUAUUUAAUGGUUUAAAAGUUAAAGUUUCAAUCUAUAUUUGUUUUUUUAACAUCAGCCAAGGAAAUACAUGUCUGUUAUACUGCAUCUUUGGAAGUAUGCAAUAAGUGUAACUAUUGAAUCUAUAUUGAAGAGCCACAAGACACUGAAUUUAAUUGGACGAGACUAUUUUAUUUAGGAAGACAAUCAUCUCCUGUGAUCAGCUUAAGGUUUUUGUUUUGUUUUAUCUGGAACAAGCUAAGUUCAUAUUUAGAAAAUAAAGUUAGUUUUUUGGGUGCAUGAGUUUUAGAGUAAAUUAGUAAUUUAGUAAACUUUGACAUUUCCACUUUGUCUCCAAACACAUUUAAAUUCUAUCUGUCUGACUGAAGUUCUAAGGCAUUCUGUGGUUACUUAGAAAUGAUUCCUUAUAUUAAUGUUUACAAAUGCUAAAUUGUAUUUGUUAAAUACAUGUCUUAUUGCCUAAGAGUUUUCCUUUCUUAUAAGUUUAAUAUAAAUGUCUAGGAAAUAAGACUCCCAUUUAAUAGCUUAUAAAGAAUGCUGAUGUAUCAGCAGUGGCCUUGACAUUAUUGGAUACAAGUAAGAUCUACACUGAUGAUUAAAUCAAAUUGGCUAAGAUUAUUCGUUCUAAUAAAAGCACUGACUCCAUGAAGUUUUCUUGUGGCUGAAAUUAACAUUCGUGUUCCUACAAGCUCUUUAAAAUCUUAGUUACUGAAAAUUAUUCCUUUUGACCUAAUUUUUUCUUUACUUUGGAUGUAUUUGACAAGGUAGAGGUUAGGGAUUGGAGAGUAUGUAAAGAAUGAAAUAAAAUGUAGUCACUUUUAACUAUAUCCACAUA